UAAAUGUUAUCAAAGCCCUGCCAGGGCUGUGAGUAAACUGAUUUACAUGCAGCAGAGGUGGGGCGAAAGGAAACAGUAAUUGACCUUGUUGCCCUCUUCUGAUUAUUCAAGGCACAGCAGCCUCCCGAAAAGCCCAUUCAUCUCUGCGCCACAGUCUUGGAUGACUGAGGAAUAAUUACAGGAGGAUGUAAGGAUAUGUGAAUUGCAAAACAGGAAAGGAGCCAUUGGGCCGUGGCCUUCCCUUUCUCUCUCUGUUUAUGUUGACAAGUGCGUUGUGUUUGGAAGAAGAACAGCCCCAAAGCAAACAGCGGCAAAAGCCUUCUUCUAUUACCAAGGCUAUUUCCACAGUAUGCAUUAGAUCAACCUCAGGAGCCUGAAGGCAAAUGGAUUUCCCAGUUCCGAAAGUGGCUUUCAGCUCCGCAAUGACUUGCUAAUUCUG